UACGGAGGGUGCGAACGUUAAUCGGAAUCACUGGGCGUAAAGCGCGCGUAGGCGGUCUGUUAAGUGGGAUGUGAAAUCCCCGGGCUUAACCUGGGAAUUGCAUUUCAAACUGGCCGACUAGAGUACGGUAGAGGGAGGUAGAAUUUCCUGUGUAGCGGUGAAAUGCGUAGAUAUAGGAAGGAAUACCAGUGGCGAAGGCGGCCUCCUGGAUCGAUACUGACGCUGAGGCGCGAAAGCGUGGGGAGCAAACAGG
rnacentral:rRNA from 2 species